CAUCAGCCUCCCUGAAUCACUGCCGCGGCUAGGCUAGGCUAUAUAUCUCGCUGAGACACUUGCCCUGCAGCCAAGUGAUCACUUUGGAAAUUACUUUUUUAAUUUCUGGAUUACUUCUGGCUCCUGUCGUGCAGCGAUAAUGAAACGAUGCCUCAGUUCGGGGAGAUGCAGCCAAACAAGAUCCAAACACACCACAUCUACCCACUCAGGCUCUGAUUACAUUUCUAUUCUUCACCAGUGGUAUCCUGAACUGCAGGUGGCAAACUAGCUGCGGCACCAAACAGAGGCUUCGGGGGGAAUCCGGGUUGCAGGGUCAGCUCCUGGAGCUCGGAGGCCACUGCCUCACUCUGAGGACUCUGGGCCAGGCACGGCCCAGAGACCUCCAUGCUGCCGGGAUCCGGAUCCUCCCCUCUGUGUGGGUGUAGCAUCGCCAGUGUGACGGAGAGACCUGUGGGCAACCAUAGGACAUUAUUUAGUUUGUAUGUUUUUCUGCAGCCUUUAGACUUAAAAACACAUCUCAUUCCCCUUCUCUAAACUUUUUGACUUCACAUGGAAUAAAGUGUCUCAAAACCUAUUACUCCCAUAUUUAGCCCUAUAGACGUCUUAUUUUACAGAAAAUAUGCUGAAUAUUACAUAUUUAUUUAGCCAAUUAUUAGCAAAUCAGAGCAGAGUGUUCAUUAUAGCCAUCAGAUCAAAUUAAAUACAUAAAUGGUACUUGGAGUACUUUACAGGCUACGACA